GCAUCAGUGGUCCAACGGUAGGAUAUUUGCCUUCCAUUUCAUUUCACUUUGACAUGGCGCAGCAAAUGGUUCGGGUUCGACUCCCGGCUGAUGCA